GCUAGGACUGAGUGGUCAGCUAGGACUGAGUGGUCAGCUGGGAUUGGGUGGUCAGCUAGGAUCGAGUGGUCAACUAGGAUGGAAUGGUCAUCUGGGGUCAGAUGGUCAGCUAGGAUUGAGUGGUCAUCUAGGAUUGAGGGGUCAGCUGGAACUGUUGGUCAGCUAGGACUGAAUGGUCAGCUAGGACUGAGGGGUCAGCUGGGGCUGAGUGGUCAGCUAGGACUGAAUGGUCAGCUAGGACUGAGGGGUCAGCUGGGCCGGGUGGCCAGCUAGGACUGAGGGGUCAGCUAGGACUGAGGGGUCAGCUAGGACUGAGGGGUCAGCUGGGGUCAGAUGUUCAGCUAGGACUGAGUGGCCAGCUAGGACUGAGUGGUCAGCUAGGACUGAGUGGUCAGCUAGGACUGAGUGGCCAGCUAGGACUGAGUGGUCAGCUGGGACUGAGGGGUCAGCUAGGACUGAGGGGUCAGCUGGGCCAGGGGCCAGCGCGGGCACAGGGUGACUCCCUGCCCAAGGGCUGGCUCUGGGGCUGGCAGGGAGCCUGGCUCUGCAGGAUGGCUGCACGAGGGGCUGGGUGCUGGGGCAGGCUGGCAGUGCCUUGUGGUGGUGUGAGGGGCACCCCAGCCCCCACGGGGGUUGUGCUUGUGGCAGGGAGGCUCCCGGGGGAAGGGGUUUGGUGCUGGGGUGUGUUUGAGGCCACUGCCAGGGUUGGGGUCUGAGGGCGAUGGAAGUGUUAAAUCAGAGCUGGUGGCAAUGGGCCACGUGUGGGCCUGGGGGAAAGCGGGGCAAAGAGAAAGAACACCUUUCCUUUUCCUUCCUCCUCUUUCACUUCCCUCUUCCUCUCCAGAACAAUUUCAGCAAACCAAGGAAAAAGUAAAUUUACAAAAACCCCACCUUUUCCUUAAAAAUUUCACCUCCCACACUUUUUUCUCCCCUUGUGUUGCUUGGCUGGGGGAUUGCCCCCAUCGCUUUGGGUGCGAAUUGGGAUGUUUGUCACCAGUUCUGGGGACAAGGCUGUGAACUGCUGCUGCCAGCCCAGAGCUUGGCUGGGGGUGAGGGGCACUUGCUGCUCUGGGGGUCCCCUCUGCCCUCCUAGGGAGAGCAUCCAUCAGGUGGGGAAGGAGCAUCUUCCCAGCCGCUCCUUAGCUCUGCCAUCCUGGGUGCUGCACCCUGCCUCCCAUCUCUCCAGCUGGGGGCACAAUUUGGGGAUUUUUUGGGGGGAUUUUCAAAUUCAUCCCCAUGCACCUCUCCCUGGGCUGUGGGAGAGUGUCUAACAGUGGGCUUCAGCCGAAGGUUUGCUCUGCUUUCCCUUUCCCAUGUUCAUCCUUUUAUUCCACCUUCCCCUCUCACUUCACUUUUCUCUUUUUUUUUUUUUUUUUCUCUUUUCCUUUCCACAAAAAAACCCAACCAGACCCAUAAACCAAGUAUUAUGUUUUCACUACCUCCAUCCAUCACCCUUCCUUGUCCAACGCAGGAAGCCACACUCGGGAUGUAAGAGGGCCUUUCCCCCUUUAUUUUUCCCUUUCCCCUGGCGAAUUUCUCUCCCUUCUGUCCCUCUGCCCCUCCUCUCUCUGGUCUCUCACCUGUAGUAUUUUACCUGGCUACUGUAACUGUAAAUAGCGAGUUUCAAUCUGUUAGCAAUGGUAACAGUACAGAAAACUGGUUUUGGGUUGUUUUUUUUUUUUUUUUUUUUUGGUUGUAUUGAUAUGAAAUGAGAUUAUAUUUUUGUCAGAGUAUAUUGUAAUAAUACUGACUUUGGACAUGG